AAAAGGUUUUGGGGCAAGUGCUUAUAAGGUGGAUUGGAAACCAGAAGAUGCAUCUUCUAAACAAAAAGGUUUUGGGGCAAGUGCUUAUAAGGUGGAUUGGAAUCCAGAAGGUGCACCUUCCAGAGAAGAAGGUUUUGGGGCAAGUGCUUAUAAGGUGGAUUGGAAACCAGAAGAUGCACAUUCUA